GAGUUUGAUCAUGGCUCAGAUUGAACACUGGCGGCAUGCCUAACACAUGCAAGUCGAACGAGACCUUCGGGUCUAGUGGCGCACGGGUGCGUAACGCGUGGGAAUCUGCCCUUGGGUUCGGAAUAACAGUUAGAAAUGACUGCUAAUACCGGAUAAUGUCUUCGGACCAAAGAUUUAUCGCCCAGGGAUGAGCCCGCGUAGGAUUAGCUAGUUGGUGAGGUAAAGGCUCACCAAGGCGACGAUCCUUAGCUGGUCUGAGAGGAUGAUCAGCCACACUGGGACUGAGACACGGCCCAGACUCCUACGGGAGGCAGCAGUGGGGAAUAUUGGACAAUGGGCGAAAGCCUGAUCCAGCAAUGCCGCGUGAGUGAUGAAGGCCUUAGGGUUGUAAAGCUCCUUUACCCGGGAUGAUAAUGACAGUACCGGGAGAAUAAGCCCCGGCUAACUCCGUG
rnacentral:rRNA from 1 species